GACGAACGCUGGCGGCGUGCUUAACACAUGCAAGUCGAACGGAAAGGCCCUGCUUUUGUGGGGUGCUCGAGUGGCGAACGGGUGAGUAACACGUGAGUAACCUGCCCUUGACUUUGGGAUAACUUCAGGAAACUGGGGCUAAUACCGGAUAGGAGCUCCUGCUGCAUGGUGGGGGUUGGAAAGUUUCGGCGGUUGGGGAUGGACUCGCGGCUUAUCAGCUUGUUGGUGGGGUAGUGGCUUACCAAGGCUUUGACGGGUAGCCGGCCUGAGAGGGUGACCGGCCACAUUGGGACUGAGAUACGGCCCAGACUCAUACGGGAGGCAGCAGUGGGGAAUAUUGCACAAUGGGAGGAAGCCUGAUGCAGCGACGCCGCGUGCGGGAUGACGGCCUUCGGGUAGUAAACCGCUUUCGCCUGUGACGAAGCGUGAGUGACGGUAAUGGGUAAAGAAGCACCGGCUAACUACGUG
rnacentral:rRNA from 1 species